rnacentral:lncRNA from 10 species
UGGACAGACAUGCAUACAGGGAGAACGUCAUAUGACAGUGAAGACAGAGAUCCAGGUGAUGCUUCUACAAGCCAAAGAAUGCCAGAAAUUGCCAGCAACCACCAAAUGUAGGAGAAAAGCAUAGAGCAGAUUCUCCCUCAUAGCCCAUGAAGGAAGCAACCCUGAUGACAAUCUGACCUUAGACUUCCAGCUUCCAAAACGGUUUUCACAGGAGCCCGUGUGAACAGACACAGGCAUUGCUAAUCUCAGAUGAGGAACACAACUGAAAAGGCUGCGGGAUUUGCCAAGUUCAAACAGUGAGCAUGUGGCCACGCCAGAACUGGAACCAAGAGUUCCCAGUCCACUGUGUUGUUCUCCUGUCAUAAACACAAGCCUUACUUGCUUCUUCUGCAUCUGAUACAUCUGUUCCUUACCUGGAACACAGAAAAAGCCCUUGAUAGUCACAGGAUCCUAUUCGAAAAAGCAUGGCUUUAGGAGUUGAGCUGAUAUGCGUUCAAUUCUCAGAAUUUAUCAGACCCUAAGUCUAUUUCACUGUAAAGCAGAUUGUUGUGAGUAUUACUGAUGUAAGCUAUAAAGAGUGACCCACAGAAAAUUCUGCUGAACUAGUUGUAUUAUUUUUUAAAAUACCUGGCCUGAUUCUACCUCCACCAUUUAUUAGGGGUGCCAUUUUGAGCUUACUAAACCUUCCUUUGCUUGCUUGUUAAUUAAGGUGGUCGUACAGCAAUGAAUGCAAUAACACUUUCAAGAUUUCCAGUUCUACAAAUGCAAGGAAUUCAUUUUAAGGAACAUGAAGAUAUAUAAAUAGUUACCGUAACAUAGAAGGCAUUAAGUAACUAUUUGCUUGCUGAAUAAGAAUGGGCUAUACCCCACACCACUCCCCAAAUUCAAAAGAACCAGUCAUAAUGGAUACAAAAAGAUGUUACCCAGACAGUGUUUGCAAGUGUGAGAAAAGGGAGGGAGUAAGUCCACUUGCUCUUGAAAACUGGAAAUCACAACCACUACACCUUGAUCAAGAAGAGCAUCUCAUGCCUGAGGUUUAAGUUUACCUAAAAUCCAAAUGUUUCACUGAAAAAAAAAAAAAACCCUCUGGGCAAUUCCUUUUAAGUUAACUGUGAAUUUCAUUUUAAAUCCCUUCAUCCCCAGGCUUAAUAUUAUUACAAAUAAAACAUGUUUUAACCCAUG